UCUCCAUCCCCGAACGCCUCCAUCUCUCUUCUUCUCUUUUCUCUUUUCUCUCCAUCCCCCAACGGCUCCCUCUUUUUCUCUUCUUCUCUUUCCAUCCGAACAGCUCUCUCUUCUUCUCUUCGACACCCAUUUCACCCCUCUCUCUCGUUGCUCUGUUUUCUCUCUUGGACGCCCACAAUUUUCUGGUGGUUUCUUCAUCAACGGCAGCCUCUUCUCUUGCCCAAAAGUGCAAGUGUUGAUGUCCAAGCAAUACAACCCCAACGGGAAAAUACUGUGGUGACAUUAUUUUGGGUCUGUUUGUACUGCUGGUUGCACCAAAAGUAUUUUGAAAUUGUAAAUACUGUGGUGACAUUAUUUUGGGUCUGGUUGCAAUGCUGGUUGCACCAAAUUCUAUCAUUUUUUUGUACUACUGGUUGCUAUGAAUUUGCGUUGGAAACUGUUGAGAGCUGCUGUGGAGCUGAUGGUUGUUGAUGUGGAGCUGCUGUGGAGCUGAGUGGUGCUGCCAUGGAGCUGCAGUGGAGCUGCCAUGGAGCAGCAGUGGAGCUGAGUGGUGCUGCCAUGGAGCUGCAGUGGAGCUGUCAAGUUGUAUUAAAAUCAACUUUGUGGAUUUUCUAUUAAGUUGAUUUUGAUACACUGGACAUUUAAAUUUGUAUGGAGGUUCUUUUGGUUGGAAGUUGAAUUUGUAUGGAACAUAUUUUGCAAACACUGAAUUGAAUGAGUAGAAUUGUCCAACUUGUGAAUUUGUAUGAAAUUAGAAGUCACAUAGAGUAUGUGUGGAAUUUUCUAUGUUGCUGAAUAUAUAUGGUAGAUUGAAUUUAUUGGACUUGGAUGUCUAAUUUGUAUGGCAUAUAUUUUGCAAACAUUAAAUUUGUAUGGAAUAUAAUUGUCUAAGUUGUGAAUUUGUAUGAAAUUAGACCACACAUAGAGUAUGUGUGGAUUUCU